rnacentral:rRNA from 1 species
GGGUCAGUAGGUUGGUCGUGCCACCGGUACGUACUGGUCUCACUGAUUCCUCCUUCCUGAAGAACCGUAAUGCCAUUAAUUUGGUGUUGCGGGAAAACAGGACUGUUACUUUGAAAAAAUUAGAGUGUUUAAAGCAAGCUAACGCUUGAAUACAUUAGCAUGGAAUAAUGAAAUAGGACAAUCGAUCCUAUUUUGUUGGUUUCUAGGAUUGACGUA